UGAAACCAAUCGAAUUCAAACACAAACCACUACUACUCAAAAUCAAACACCCAACCCCAAUUAAUUUUGACUUCGACUGAAUCAACCCUUCAAACGAAUCUCGAAUCACUCAUUUUUAUGAAAAUUCUCUAAUUUUCUUAACCAAGGGGAUUGAAACUACAUUAAAGAGUUAGUUUGAUCAAGGUGGAAGAGUGUAUAAAUUGACUGGAAACUACAUCGGAGGAAUUGCAACUGGGUAUAUCUAAACGCCUCGCUGUUAUAUGGUUUCUGAGAUAACAAAAAGUUGACUAUUAAGUUAGAGAAAUUAGAAACUAUUGUUUUACGAAGGGGAAGAGCUUGUAAAUAAGUUGGCAAAGUUGGAAAGGGAUGUCAAAGAAUGAGAAGGCGCAAGAAUUGACGCUGCGACAUUUUUAAAAACUAUGCGCAGAGUAAGAAUGUAGCUAUGAGCUCUUUUGGAGUAUGAUGCGUCUGCUCGGCAUUUUAUAGGAACAAAAGGACUUUCACCAACUCUUGAUUUUUAAUGGAUAAUCUAGAAAAUUGUUGGCAGGUAAGAACUGUAGCUUUAGUAAAUAAAUCUUUUUUGUUCAUAUCUUAUUAUGUUUCUAAUAUUUGAAUCUUGUUUUGUGUUGGUGUCUUCACUGUUUCUUAUUUCUCUUCGAGUGUAUUUUUAUGAACUGAUUUUAUUUUCAAGUUUUUAUUCCUUUCCAUGAAAUAUUAAAGCUGGAGUAAGUAGUUCGCGUUGAAUGAAAGAAAUUUUUCAGCUUAUCAAGACAACUGCAACCACUUAAGGAUACCAACUUCUAUUCUUUUGGAAUAUACAUAGAGCAUCUGCUUAAAUUUACUGGUAAUGAUUCGAGGCAUUAAUAGAUUUUAGAAAAUGAAUUUUGUCAUAUUUGAUGCGCUAUCAACUUCUAUUCUAAUGAGAAAUACAGGGAGCAUUUGCUCGAAGUUAUCAUUGGAAAAUUUGAUGUUGUUUCUAAUAUACUCAGUCUGAUCCCACAAGUUGGGAAUGUGGAGGAUGAGGCGUACGCAGAUCCUACCUCUAUCUUUGCAGGAUAGAGAUGUUGUUUCCGGUAGAUCCUCGGCUCAAAAAAAGCAUUUUUAAGAACAGGUUUGAUAAAUACAAGAGUAAAAAGGCUAUGCUAAAAAUCAUUGUAUUCGUUCUUCAUGUGUACUAUGUUCUCUUCUUUGAACUACAAUAUCAAAGUAGUUGUUCUCUGUGAUGUCUGGAUUAUUGAUUAAUCUUAAUAAACCGUUAAAUGACUAGAAGCCAAAAAAUUUCAGUUGAUUAAAAUGAAACUAAAAAAAUUGUUUAGGUAGGACAAACAAAAAUAUGGAUGAAGUACAUAUUGUUUCUAAAUUUUUUGGUUAGCCUAAUUUAGAGAGUAGCAUUGAGAAUCACUCUCUUCUAGCAGCUGAAAGGUGGUUACAACUGUAUGAUUUUUUCUUUUGCAAUUUGUGACAAUUUACUUUGGUAAAUGACAUACCAUUGUUAAAUGAAAGUGUUGAUAUGUUACUAUUUGAAACUGAAUAUGAUGAGGCAUAAAAUCUUUUGAAUUUUAGUCUUUAGUUUGCUCAGACAUCUGUAAUAGAUUUCUUUAUCUUCAUGAUAUAUUUGCAUCAAAUUGGUAACUCAGUAAUUUAAUUUCAAGGGCUUGCUGAAUACUUGCAGAAAUGUCCACGUGUUAUGUCUAGAUUAAGUUUAAAAUACCGUGGAGUCAAACUGUACAAAUAUGCAUGAUAGGAGGUCUGAAAAGGGCAGUAGCUCAGAAAGAAGUGAGAUAUCACUUAUCCCUCCCUAUAGCUUAAACAUAUCCUAUAUUAUCUUUUGUUUUUGUUUUUAUUGCAGCUUUGAAACUUUCUUCGAAUGGUAUUGCUAAUGGAAAUGUGGCUUUCAUUCCAUGGAAUAGUAACACAAUAAGAAUUUCCCAUUCAAUGUCAUUUGGCAAUGAUGAUGAAUCGUGGAGGUAACUUCAUGGUUGAACAGUUUGUCAGGCUUCAUGGUGAAGACAUAUUGCAAGUUCAUGACUUUAUCCUCUCCUCGGGAUCCAGUUUCAAAAUGUAUAGAGGUUGUUGAUGUACUUAAGUUGAAACUAUGAUGAAUUUAUUUAUCAUGCAAGCCUAAAAAAUCAAGAAGCCUAAGUUCAUUUGUGAAAAUAUUCAUUGUGUAUCAUUUGAGUUGAAUAACUUGUAUUAUAUGAAGACAAAUAACUUUUGGAAGAACCAAUGAAGUUACUACUAUGAUACAAUGUUAUGUUAAGAAAUUGCAGCAAAAGC